CAGUAGCCACGGGAAUACAGAGGGUGCGAGCGUUAAUCGGAUUUACUGGGCGUAAAGCGUGCGUAGGCGGCUUCUUAAGUCGGAUGUGAAAUCCCUGAGCUUAACUUAGGAAUUGCAUUCGAUACUGGGAAGCUAGAGUAUGGGAGAGGAUGGUAGAAUUCCAGGUGUAGCGGUGAAAUGCGUAGAGAUCUGGAGGAAUACCGAUGGCGAAGGCAGCCAUCUGGCCUAAUACUGACGCUGAGGUACGAAAGCAUGGGGAGCAAACAGGAUUAGAUACCCCAGUAGUCCCUGUCUCUUAUAU
rnacentral:rRNA from 1 species